UCGGCGACUGCUGUUUAGCUCUGUUAAUUUUGUAAUUCCGUAGUGGCGCCACCAGCGGUUGCUGCUUAGCCACUCUAUUGUCUCCCAUCCUCUUUUCAAAGGUGUCAUUUUCUGUGUCUUCUCCUGAUUUCCCAGUGCUAUACUGACAUCUUGAUUUAUUGACACAGCUCUGACUAGAAUUGUAUAGCCCUGACUAGAAUUGUAUAAAAGAAAACGUGACUAGAAGUUGACUAGCACUGAGGUCUGACUAGAGUUGAGGUCUUGACAGACGGAACCUUAAGCAAGUUGCUGUGAUAACGGUUCUUGCCCUCCUGACCUGGUGUUCACCCACUGUGUUGAGUGACCCAGUUGUAUCGUAAUCUUUAUUCCUCAUCCAAGCUAGCUCUGCUAGAUUGAUGAUAGAUGAUCAGAAUUCAUGACUUUGUUUUAUCGAGACUGACACAAUAUACUCGUGGUCCAUACAGUCCACUACUCGAGUACCAACCAAGCUAUCAUCUGGUCCUUCGAACCGGAGCCACCGGCACGUUUCUGAAUGACGC